UUAAAAAGCUCGUAGUUGGAUUUCUGUACGAAGACGGUCGGUCCGCUCUUUGAGACGUGUAUCUGAUUCGGUUUUGGCAUCCUCGUGGGGAACGUAACUGUGCUUGAUUGCAUGGUGCGGAAUUCACGACUUUUACUUUGAGGAAAUUAGAGUGUUCACGGCAGGCAAGCGCCUUGAAUACAUUAGCAUGGAAUAAUAAUAUAGGACUUUGGAUCUAUUUUGUUGGUUUCUAGAACUAAGGUAAUGAUAAAUAGGGACAGUUUGGGGGCAUUUGUACUAACGACGUCAGAGGUGGAAUUCCUUGGAUUGCUUUAUGACAAACCUACUGCGAAAGCAUUUGCCAAGGAUGUUUUCAUUGAUCAGAACGAAAGGUAUGGGGAUCGAAGACGAUUAGAUACCGU
rnacentral:rRNA from 1 species